AUAUUAAUAAGCGGAGGAAAAGAAACUAACAAGGAUUCCCCUAGUAACGGCGAGUGAAGCGGGAAGAGCUCAAGCUUGAAAUCUCCGACACAGAUUGGGUUCUGUGCGGCGAAUUGUAGUCUAUAGAAGCAUGUUCAGUGUAGGCCCUCGAGUUAAGUUCCUUGAAAAAGGACAGCAUGGAGGGUGAUACUCCCGUUCAUCCUCGAGUGGCUUGUGCGUACGACCUGUUUUCUUUGAGUCGCGUUGUUUGAGAAUGCAGCGCUAAGUAGGUGGUAAAUUCCAUCUAAAGCUAAAUAUUGGUGCGAGACCGAUAGCGAACAAGUACCGUGAGGGAAAGAUGAAAAGAACUUUGAAAAGAGAGUUAAAGAGUACCUGAAACUGCUGAAAGGGAACCGGAUCGUUUCUAGUGUCUAUAAUCCGUGGUAUAUUUCAUUGGCAAGUGUGUGUGUGCGUGUGCUGUGCGGCAGCGGCUUAUUUUUUAGGCUGCGCCCGGCGUGUGUGUGCGUGUGUUUGCUGGUGCCCUGUACUGCGGUGGGACGUCAAGGUCAGUUCGUAUGCUGUGGGAAAUGACUGCUGAGGAGGUAGGGCUUACGCUUGCGUUUGUCUGUUAUAUCUUGGCGGACUUUGUCGUGGUUGGGACUGAGGUGCCUAUAACGUGCUUUACGAGUGGGUCAUGAGUCUCUGUGUGCGCUGUGUGCGGAUAGCUUGCUAUGUGCGUGUGGCUGUGUGCGGAUUGAUACGGGCUAUAACUUGUUGCCGUUCGGGACGUUGGCGAAAUGGAGCGAUCUGACCCGUCUUGAAACACGGACCAAGGAGUCUAACAUGUGUGCGAGUGUUAGGGUGUGGAAACCCCAGCGCGAAAUGAAAGUAAAGGACAGCGUAAGUUGUCUUAGGUAGGAAAUGGUGCGGGCUUCGGUCUGCGGCAUGGCACUAUCGACCGAUCAUGAACCUUCGUGGUGAAAGAUUUGAGUUUGAGCACAUAUGUUGGUACCCGAAAGAUGGUGAACUAUGCCUGAGUAGGGUGAAGCCAGGGGAAACUCUGGUGGAAGCUCGUAGCGAUUCUGACGUGCAAAUCGAUCGUCGAACUUGGGUAUAGGGGCGAAAGACUAAUCGAACCAUCUAGUAGCUGGUUCCCUCCGAAAUUUCCCUCAGGAUAGCUGCAACUUUCUUACGAUAGUUUUAUGAGGUAAAGCGAAUGAUUAGAGGAUUCGGGGAAGAAACUUUCUCGACCUAUUCUCAAACUUUAAAUCUGUAAGACCUGCAGGUUUCUUAAUUGAACCUGUGGUGUGAAUAUCAAGUUGCAAGUGGGCCAUACGGGGUAAGCUCGUCUGGCGAUGCGGGAUGAACCGAACGCAAAGUUAAAGUGCCAAAAUGCUCGCUCACCUAGAUACCAUAAAAGGUGUUGGUUCAUUUAGACAGCA
rnacentral:rRNA from 1 species